rnacentral:tRNA from 3 species
CGGGGCGUAGCGCAGCCUGGUUAGCGCGCCUGCUUCGGGAGCAGGAGGUCGGAGGUUCAAAUCCUCUCGCCCCGACCA